ACUCCCCGUCGGGCAGUUUCACAAGUGGGGCUGAGGCGGCGUGACGUCACAGCCGAGCUAAGAUCUCGCGUGUCAGACAAGCGCCGAAUUUUGGAGCCCGCCAGAUCACGGACUGGACAAGAGAAACGCCUUUAAACGUACAACGGGGGAUGACAUUUCUUAGGCAGUGUGGACACACUUGUAGCAGGAGCUGGAGAAACUGACCCAGAGUGAAAUGCCAGUCCAUUGCAAAAAACACAGAUUGGCACACCAGAACUGGACCAAUUUAACCAGCAACAGGUAAUUCCUUUUGGAGCUGGACCCUCAUAAGCACAUAAUCCUGGACCUUUUGUAAGUGAACCAAGAGAGUCAAAAAUGGACAACACCAACUCAACAGAAAACAGCUCUUCAGACCAAAAGGAAAGUUUACCUCAAAGCCAGAACUGCAACCACAACCAGAUGAGGGCUGACAUUGCUAACAAUCAGCAGCCACCAUCGGACGAUGAUGACGACAACAACAACGAACCCAACUCAGGAGACAAUCCCUUUGCCAUCUCCACAGACAAAGAGAAAAACCUAGUGUCCAGAGUCGAUUCAGCGCCUUUUCCAAAUUUGCCAGACCAAUUCGGUGAGCCUUGCUCCCUUCCCACCAUCAGUGCCUCACUGGCUGAAGUCAAACACAAAGCUUUGGAGUGCAAGAUUUCUAUUCAGUCCCAGAUGUCAAAAACCAAUCCACCAGAUGGGAUGUCCCAGUGCUCCCCGGGCUGCAAGAAUUGCUGCAUAUCAUGCGGCCACAUUCUCCUCGCUAUUGGCAUGGUCAUCUUCUCACCCAUCAUCGCCAUUGGCUUUUGCUUGUUUGACAUAAUGUUCUGCAGGAUCUGCCAAGCCAGAGAAGAACAUAGACAAUCAAGGUCGGGUUCAGAGAGAUUUUAUUAAGUUUAUACUCAGUGGCACAGGAACAGACAGACUCUUUGUUUAGUGAGAUGUAAUAGAUGCACCGUUCACCUGACUUUGCCUGAUCACUGUAUAUCACUGCCACCAAUUUCAUUUUAGCUGUUUUUUAUUUUUUGUUCUUUCCCAUCAGGGUGGCACAGUUGAUAGCACUGCUGGCCUGCAGCUCCCAAAUCCAAGCACAGGUUCCAUUCUCUGCGGGGUUUUCCUCCCAUAUGUUGUAAAGUUGAUUGAUAAAUGCAAACUGUCUCAGCAAAAGUGACCUACAAUGGACUGGCAGCACCGCUGGGAUGUGUCUAUGUGCUUAAUGCCAGCUUUCUGCAGCUCUGAAUUGGAUAAGCGAGUUAGGCAAUAGAAAGAUGAAUAAAUAGCUGGAUGCUGACACUGAGAAAGACAUGUGGACUUCUUUAUAUUUUUAUCAGAAGGGAGAUGAACAACAAGUAGGAGCUUCCUGAAUUCAGCCUCCAGGACGCAAAUAUUUGAUGAUUAAACUGCUCUCCUGUCCAGAAAAAAAUGUGGCAAAUAAAACAAGUAUGGAGAGUGGAUCCAGGACUCACUCACAGAAGAGGUACAAGAGCUCAAGGGAUUUCAGAAAAACUAAAACCACGGCCCCAGAGUACCUCAAUCCUGUCAUAGCCCCUCCACCACCACCUAGGAGGGGAAUUUAAAAAUAAAAAAGGUUUCUUAUGGACAUUGAAUUAGCUGUUUUAUAGCUUUUGUCACUAAGUAUAUUAAGGGUAAACUGAAUUCUACUUGCCUUGCACUUUGCUAUUUAAAAUAAAAAGUCUUUACAUGAA